UACGUAGGCAGCGAGCGUUGUUCGGAGUUACUGGGCGUAAAGGGUGUGUAGGCGGUUCUUUAAGUUUGGUGUGAAAUCUCCCGGCUCAACCGGGAGGGUGCGCCGAAUACUGAGGGACUAGAGUGCGGGAGAGGAAAGUGGAAUUCCCGGUGUAGCGGUGAAAUGUGUAGAGAUCGGGAGGAACACCGGUGGCGAAGGCGGGUCUCUGGGCAAUUCCUGACGCUGAGGCGCGAAAGCGUGGGGAGCAAACGGG
rnacentral:rRNA from 1 species